GCAAAGUAAAUGUGAGUGUACUGUGAUCAGCUGGAGGCUAACAGAUGCAGUUUCUGCCUUUUACCAGAAUGGGAAGGCCAACUGGCAACCGCUGAAUGUGCUACGGAAACUUGAGAUCGAUCAGAAGAAAGGUAAUUAAUAAAGCAAAGAACUAGAAUGUUUGUUUAAAGGAAUCAUUUGCCUGCAAUUUAUAUUCUUCGUUUUUUCCCCACAGACCUGAUGGAAGAGCUUGGCUUGGGUGAAUUUGAUGAUUUUGAAGAUUCCUCCGACUGGGACUCUACCAGUACAGCCAGUAAAACGGCCCUAUCCGCCCGAGGAAUGGCUUCCGCCGGGCCUAGAGACCCCGGAGCUUCCAGUCCAGCUCCUGAUGACUCCCUUCCUGCCGCAGAAAUGACACCUCAGAGGAGCUCUGAGAUGAGACGGCCCAACACGCCAUCCAAGUCCGGCCCCCAGCCGCAACCUCGUGCCAGAAAGAGGCUUCUUCUGAAACCAGACAGUGAACAAGGUAAAAUGUUGUCCCAGGUUUUAACUUGAGUCAUUCUAAAUCUAAUCAAAGAUGGGAUAAAAUUCAGUCUAGAGGUUUUUUUGCUCUUUUGUCCAGAAUCAGAUUGGGAAUCAGACAAAGGGACCUCCUCUUCCCAAGCUUCAUCACCUGACAGGAACAAGGAUCAACCUGUCACAGCUGUGAAACACAGUUCCUCUGGAGAUGAAGAGAAGACAACUGACACAAAAGCCAUCAGAGAAUUUAGAGAAAAUCUGCAAAAGGCUGACACAGAAACGGUUCUGGCCAAAGCGAAGCUUCAAGAAUCAAACGCUUCCUGUGAGGCUGAUGGAAAACCAUCAGAGGAGAAACCUGAGUCACCUGACCUAUCCAAUGAGGCGGAGGAAGCUGAUGAGGAACACCAUCCUGUUGCUCCCAGCAGGUAUGCAUGAUUGCUUUUUUAUUUUCUUUUGUUCCCUUUUUUCAGAAGAACUCCAUAUUUCCAUCCAGCUUUCCCAGAAUGAUAUUAAGUAUGGAAAUGCUCUAACCCUUUUUAUCUGUCUUUUUUUUAAUAAAUUGAGAAUAGAUUCAAGUGUAAAGCUGCUUGUCUCCAUUUUUGUUGAGACCUGUCUCCUUCAGAAAGGCUCCCAUUGACCAUCAGCUUUAUCACUCUCUGUAGCACCAGCCGGGCUCCUCUGCAAAUGCACAUCCCAGUCCAGCAGGCUGUAGACGCAGCGUUACGUCAGGAGCUGGUCGGGGGGGCCCGGCACAGCAGAGCCCCUCAGACCAGCGUGCGCAUUAACGGGAACCCGCUGUCUGUGUUUGACGAUAGCUCUCUAAGUGAAGAGUCGGACGAGGAAAGAAGGUAUAAAUGCAGUAUGUCACAUUUGACCUCUGUCCACUAGUAACAGAGGGGGUGGUAAUGACUCAUUUACUCACAAGCAUUCCAGUAACUAUAAUUCAUGUACUCCUAAGAGUAGUUUUACUACACCAGGGCUUGGAUGGUAAAAAGUACAUCAAGUACCUUUUACCAUUGUCUUUCCAAAAAGACUUAAAAACCAGGUAAUAAUUCUGUAUUUUCAGAAUAAAUGUUAAUGUAUUAUGUGAAUUUUUUAAUUUAAAUUAGACAGUUAUAUUUAUUUAAAAAUAAUUGUAUUCAUUUUACAGUGGAGGAAAUAAGUAUGUUACCUCUUGCUGAUUUUGUAGGUUUUCCCACAGUCUGUCAUCCUAAUAGUAUGUUCAUUUCAACUCAACUGGUUCACACGGACCAGUUAGACUCUCCUAAUCAAUCUGUCACCUCAAUUGAAGACGCCGGUUUGAACUAGUCACCUGUAGAAAUGACAGCUGUCCACAGAAUCAGAGCAUCAGUUAGACUCCAAAGUUUCCAACAUGGAAAAGACUAAAGAGCUUUCAGUGGAUUUAAAGAGAAGAUUGUAGACCUGCAAAAGACCACAAUGGACUGCAAAACCAUGAGCAAGAAGCUGGGGGUCACCAUGACAACUGUUGGUGGAAUUGUCCAAAAACACAGGAACAUGACCAUCAAUCCACCUAUAAGUCUGGGGCUCCAAACCAUAUCUGACCUGAUGGGGUUUCCACGAUCAUAACAGGGAGAAAUCCACCUAAAAGAACACAACAGGAGGUAAUUGUUGAUCUUAACUCAGCUGGAACCACCGUCACCAAGAAAACCAUUAGAAAUACAGUACUUUGCGCCGCAUUGUUUUAACAUCUUGCAGUGCUCAAAAAGUCCCCUGCUUAAGAAGGAACAUGUGCAGGCCUGCCUGAAGUUUGCCAAUGAACACUUUAUUGAUUUAGAGAGGGAUUAGGAGAAGGGUUGAGUUGAAGCUCUUUGGCAUCAACUCAACCCGUUGUGUUUGGAGGAAGAGAAAUGCUGCCUAUGACCCCAAGAACACCAUCCCCUCCUGUCCAGCAUGGAGGUGGAAACAUUGUGGGAUGUUUUUCUGCAAAGGGCACAAGACUACUUCACCAUGGAGAUGGGAGGAAAGAUGGAUCCAUGUACGGUCGAAUCCUAAGUGAGAACCUCCUUCCCUCCACCAGGAGGCUUAGAAUGGAUUGUGGAUGGGUCUUCCAACAGGAUCAUGGGCCAAAACACACAACCAAGGAAUUGCUAAAGAAGACGCAUAUGACGGUGAUGGAGUGGCCCAGCCAGUUUCCAGACCUCAAUCCCCUAGAAAACCUAUUGAGCGAGCUGAGGUCAGGGGUUUCCAUCAACAGCCACCAAAUAUAAAUGAUUUAAAUGUAAAGGAGAGUGGGCCAAAAUUCCUCCUGAUAUGUGCAGAAACCUGCUCAUCAACUACAAGAAACUUCUGGCCUCUAUGCUGCUAAAAAAGGUUUUGCCCCAAAGCACUAAGUCUUUCAAAGUUUUUUGUUUUUUAUUUUCCGUCUCUCACAUUGGGAUGACAGACUUAAUUUCUUUUUAAGAAAGCAAACUCAGCAAGAGAUCAAAUAAUCAUUUCCUACAUUGUAGUUAAAAAAAAGUAUUAAAAAUCACAAAAUUAGUUUCAGAUGCUUUUUCACGCUCCUUAAGUCAUUACUUGGACUAAUUUUUUGACUUUUACUCUGGUAUUAUUUUGAAGUAACACUACUCUUAUUUGAGUAUAACUUUUCCUAUUUGAGUCUUUUAAUGAAUCAGUCAACUCAAAAUGUAUUUUAAAGGGCAGCAGAUUAAACAAAACAUUUGAUGGAGAUGAAUGACAAUAAAGAAGAUUAUCCAAAAACAUAGAAAACUCAUUGUUCUUCACAGUGACUUUGAUAGUCAAACUGUCAUGUAACCAAAUUUGCUGCAGUAAAGACACUUUGUGUUCAGCUCCUAGCAUUUUGUGGUGGAGGGAAAGAAUCCUGACGUUUUUAGUCUUUAAAUCAUUUCCGAUUCAUGGCUGGCCUCUGAAGCGGGUACUGCAUUUUACCUUUGCUCUUCAAACGCUGUUCCCGUUUCAGUAACAUGUGACCCGUCUCGGGUAACUCCCUGUUCUUCUCUGUUCAGGUUGCAAAGUGCCGAACAACAGAAAAGCAAGGUAAAACUUACAGUAGAUUUGGGCUUGAAUUCAUGAAACCGGACCGGAGAACG
rnacentral:lncRNA from 1 species